CCGGGAGUCUGCUUGAGCCUUGGAGACGGUGUGAAACGUUUAUUAUUCUAUGGACGUGACGCAGCAAACGGAUUAUAUCACGCUCGACCUUCUCUGUUUCUGGAUACGAUGCUACUAUCUAGCGGUUAAUGUGUGAACUGCAACGUCGUUUCCACUCCAACAUGCCGACCUAGAACAAAAGGAUAAAGCACAGCGGCGCUUCAAAUCAGCCCCGGUCACUAUGGGAACACAGCGGGACGUUGCCAGGAUGUGGGGUCCUUGGGAGUGGGAGUCCAGCUGCGUCCACCUCCGGUGUUCAUCCACCGCCGGCCUCCCAUCCCCCCGCCGGGCCCCAGCCUGGCCGGAUCUGUUUUUCUAAACCGAGAGAGGAGUGACUCACCACUCCGGUUUCAAAACAGGCCACCAAGGGGGGGGGGGGCAGUUAACGUUAGAGGCCCUGUUUAAACAGGUGUUGCAGCUCACCACACAGUCAUUUCAUGCAACAACAGGCUUACAGAGUAUUUCAUUUGAGCGACUGAAUACCCUGUAUCUAAAGUCGCUUUUGGUUGUGCACUUACGUCAGCAUCGGCAAUAUCAGACGCAAAUCUCGCCAUACUUUUUAACGUUUUAAGCAAUUUCAUGCAGACUGUUCUGCUGGUUUUGAAAAAAUGGAUUAUUGCGGGCAAAAUCAAUUUAGUGGAAAUCAAUGGCAGGGCAGUCAUGUGAAAGUCCAGUCUGCAUCUCUUUGGAAUAAGCUGUUCUGAGAAAAAGAAUCCGGAGAAAGAUUAAAAGGGAAUAAGAAAGCCUUAUGAACAGAGACAGACAGGAGUUUUUCCUAAUGGCAGAGCAUUAUCAUACAAGUCUAUUGACUAGAAUGUAAAGAUCUUAAUGAUGAAAAACGUUGAGCCAGAGUGGUAAACGUUUAUCUUCUUUCAAUAAACCCCUGCUGUGGGCCUUUCAGCAAAGUAAACAUGCUUUUGUUUUGCUGCCAUUACCAUCUACUAUUGCUCUACCACUGGUCUCAAUCAAUGUUUUGUUUGUGAAAAAUGUUGUUUUCUCACAGCCCUAGAUUUUUAGCUAAUUAGUUUCAGCAAUAUUGUGGACAGGAUCAGAUUUAGUUCAGUUGUUUGUUGACUGAACAGAGAUUUUGGGUCCCCAGGCCCUGUUUCAUAGACAUUUCUGUCCCCUCCCAUGUCUUCCGUCUCCUUUUACAGACUCUCCACCCAUUCUCUGCCUGCCCAACAAGCAUUUUCAGAGAGAUACAACUUGCUUAGCCUGGUGCUGCUGUAGACUCCCUGUCCUAAGGCUGAAAUGCAACUCUGUAAUGUCAGGUCUGGGAAAAAAAAAUUGCUGUUUAGACUGGGACAACAUCCACCAACUCACUGAUGACAACAUUUAACGGUGAAAUACUAAUGUGAUUCCAAAGUGCGCGUGUGAAAAGGUCCUUCUAAACUUCCUGUGCCUCUGGACAAGCAAUGUGUGGUUGAAAUCCAUUCCCAAGAUCUACAAGAACUUUGUUGCAAUCAUAAAAUAAUGGCCGGAACUGAAGAGCUCAUUAAGGGUCUACAACAAGCAGGGAUAAUUACUUCUUUCACACAGAGGCAAUGAGUCAAAAAAACUGUGUAUGCUGUUGGUGUGACGGGGUUAUUAAAGGUUAUUCAAAGUAAAUUAGGUCUAUGAUACUGUUUACAACUAGGGAUUUAUGCAGGCCUGACAUUGCUUGGGUAUGGUAUGCAAGGGUGAACACAGGUUACUAUACACUGGUAUUGCUUACGGGACCAGCCUUUGAGUAAAGGUCUCUUUUCCUAUGUAUACAUUUGCAUCACUUAGCUCUCCCUGCCAUCAUUUGCACUCUUUUAAAUAGGUGCUUGGAAAUGAGUCCAACAUCACAAAUUAAAGAAAAAGUGGAGGACUACCCAAACAGCAGAUAAUCAGCAGAUAAUCAUGUACAGCAGAUAAUCGGACAUCAAAACAUUAUAAUGCUGUAUUUACAGUGACACUACAAACUAAAAACCAGUAUUUACCAGUGAGCACUAUAGUCUGGUAGGAAUGGUCAAAGGUCAGUUGAACCUGUUCAAUAUUUUAUGUCAUGCUGUUCAUAAAAUUUGUGUGGGAACUGGGUAAUACAGGUCAGGAGAGAAUGUGUAGUUUUUCCCAUAUUUACACUAAUAAUACAAGUCCUGCAUCCACAGAGGUCUGUAUUAAAAUCAAAGCCUUGUCAAGGGUGAAUCCAAACUGUACUCUUAAAAAGAAAACAAAUGUAAACUCAGUCAUUUGUCCUUUUAAAUGUAAAGUUUAUAUAAAGCUCUCUGCA